rnacentral:rRNA from 1 species
AGCGUACACGGUGGAUGCCCUGGCAGUCAGAGGCGAUGAAGGACGUGCUAAUCUGCGAUAAGCGUCGGUAAGGUGAUAUGAACCGUUAUAACCGGCGAUUUCCGAAUGGGGAAACCCAGUGUGUUUCGACACACUAUCAUUAACUGAAUCCAUAGGUUAAUGAGGCGAACCGGGGGAACUGAAACAUCUAAGUACCCCGAGGAAAAGAAAUCAACCGAGAUUCCCCCAGUAGCGGCGAGCGAACGGGGAGCAGCCCAGAGCCUGAAUCAGUGUGUGUGUUAGUGGAAGCGUCUGGAAAGGCGCGCGAUACAGGGUGACAGCCCCGUACACAAAAAUGCACAUGCUGUGAGCUCGAUGAGUAGGGCGGGACACGUGGUAUCCUGUCUGAAUAUGGGGGGACCAUCCUCCAAGGCUAAAUACUCCUGACUGACCGAUAGUGAACCAGUACCGUGAGGGAAAGGCGAAAAGAACCCCGGCGAGGGGAGUGAAAAAGAACCUGAAACCGUGUACGUACAAGCAGUGGGAGCACGCUUAGGCGUGUGACUGCGUACCUUUUGUAUAAUGGGUCAGCGACUUAUAUUCUGUAGCAAGGUUAACCGAAUAGGGGAGCCGAAGGGAAACCGAGUCUUAACUGGGCGUUAAGUUGCAGGGUAUAGACCCGAAACCCGGUGAUCUAGCCAUGGGCAGGUUGAAGGUUGGGUAACACUAACUGGAGGACCGAACCGACUAAUGUUGAAAAAUUAGCGGAUGACUUGUGGCUGGGGGUGAAAGGCCAAUCAAACCGGGAGAUAGCUGGUUCUCCCCGAAAGCUAUUUAGGUAGCGCCUCGUGAAUUCAUCUCCGGGGGUAGAGCACUGUUUCGGCAAGGGGGUCAUCCCGACUUACCAACCCGAUGCAAACUGCGAAUACCGGAGAAUGUUAUCACGGGAGACACACGGCGGGUGCUAACGUCCGUCGUGAAGAGGGAAACAACCCAGACCGCCAGCUAAGGUCCCAAAGUCAUGGUUAAGUGGGAAACGAUGUGGGAAGGCCCAGACAGCCAGGAUGUUGGCUUAGAAGCAGCCAUCAUUUAAAGAAAGCGUAAUAGCUCACUGGUCGAGUCGGCCUGCGCGGAAGAUGUAACGGGGCUAAACCAUGCACCGAAGCUGCGGCAGCGACGCUUAUGCGUUGUUGGGUAGGGGAGCGUUCUGUAAGCCUGUGAAGGUGUGCUGUGAGGCAUGCUGGAGGUAUCAGAAGUGCGAAUGCUGACAUAAGUAACGAUAAAGCGGGUGAAAAGCCCGCUCGCCGGAAGACCAAGGGUUCCUGUCCAACGUUAAUCGGGGCAGGGUGAGUCGACCCCUAAGGCGAGGCCGAAAGGCGUAGUCGAUGGGAAACAGGUUAAUAUUCCUGUACUUGGUGUUACUGCGAAGGGGGGACGGAGAAGGCUAUGUUGGCCGGGCGACGGUUGUCCCGGUUUAAGCGUGUAGGCUGGUUUUCCAGGCAAAUCCGGAAAAUCAAGGCUGAGGCGUGAUGACGAGGCACUACGGUGCUGAAGCAACAAAUGCCCUGCUUCCAGGAAAAGCCUCUAAGCAUCAGGUAACAUCAAAUCGUACCCCAAACCGACACAGGUGGUCAGGUAGAGAAUACCAAGGCGCUUGAGAGAACUCGGGUGAAGGAACUAGGCAAAAUGGUGCCGUAACUUCGGGAGAAGGCACGCUGAUAUGUAGGUGAAGUCCCUCGCGGAUGGAGCUGAAAUCAGUCGAAGAUACCAGCUGGCUGCAACUGUUUAUUAAAAACACAGCACUGUGCAAACACGAAAGUGGACGUAUACGGUGUGACGCCUGCCCGGUGCCGGAAGGUUAAUUGAUGGGGUUAGCCGCAAGGCGAAGCUCUUGAUCGAAGCCCCGGUAAACGGCGGCCGUAACUAUAACGGUCCUAAGGUAGCGAAAUUCCUUGUCGGGUAAGUUCCGACCUGCACGAAUGGCGUAAUGAUGGCCAGGCUGUCUCCACCCGAGACUCAGUGAAAUUGAACUCGCUGUGAAGAUGCAGUGUACCCGCGGCAAGACGGAAAGACCCCGUGAACCUUUACUAUAGCUUGACACUGAACAUUGAGCCUUGAUGUGUAGGAUAGGUGGGAGGCUUAGAAGUGUGGACGCCAGUCUGCAUGGAGCCGACCUUGAAAUACCACCCUUUAAUGUUUGAUGUUCUAACGUUGACCCGUAAUCCGGGUUGCGGACAGUGUCUGGUGGGUAGUUUGACUGGGGCGGUCUCCUCCUAAAGAGUAACGGAGGAGCACGAAGGUUGGCUAAUCCUGGUCGGACAUCAGGAGGUUAGUGCAAUGGCAUAAGCCAGCUUGACUGCGAGCGUGACGGCGCGAGCAGGUGCGAAAGCAGGUCAUAGUGAUCCGGUGGUUCUGAAUGGAAGGGCCAUCGCUCAACGGAUAAAAGGUACUCCGGGGAUAACAGGCUGAUACCGCCCAAGAGUUCAUAUCGACGGCGGUGUUUGGCACCUCGAUGUCGGCUCAUCACAUCCUGGGGCUGAAGUAGGUCCCAAGGGUAUGGCUGUUCGCCAUUUAAAGUGGUACGCGAGCUGGGUUUAGAACGUCGUGAGACAGUUCGGUCCCUAUCUGCCGUGGGCGCUGGAGAACUGAGGGGGGCUGCUCCUAGUACGAGAGGACCGGAGUGGACGCAUCACUGGUGUUCGGGUUGUCAUGCCAAUGGCACUGCCCGGUAGCUAAAUGCGGAAGAGAUAAGUGCUGAAAGCAUCUAAGCACGAAACUUGCCCCGAGAUGAGUUCU